rnacentral:rRNA from 1 species
CCUACGGGAGGCAGCAGUAAGGAAUAUUGGUCAAUGGGGGGAACCCUGAACCAGCCAUGCCGCGUGCAGGAAGACGGCCCUACGGGUUGUAAACUGCUUUUGCACGGGAAUAACCCUCAUUAUGUAUAAUGAGCUGAAUGUACCGUGAGAAUAAGGAUCGGCUAACUCCGUGCCAGCAGCCGCGGUAAU